rnacentral:rRNA from 1 species
GCAGUGGGGAAUAUUGGACAAUGGGCGCAAGCCUGAUCCAGCCAUGCCGCGUGAGUGAUGAAGGCCCUAGGGUUGUAAAGCUCUUUCACCGGAGAAGAUAAUGACGGUAUCCGGAGAAGAAGCCCCGGCUAACUUCGUGCCAGCAGCCGCGGUAAUACGAAGGGGGCUAGCGUUGUUCGGAUUUACUGGGCGUAAAGCGCACGUAGGCGGAUCGAUCAGUCAGGGGUGAAAUCCCAGAGCUCAACUCUGGAACUGCCUUUGAUACUGUCGAUCUGGAGUAUGGAAGAGGUGAGUGGAAUUCCGAGUGUAGAGGUGAAAUUCGUAGAUAUUCGGAGGAACACCAGUGGCGAAGGCGGCUCACUGGUCCAUUACUGACGCUGAGGUGCGAAAGCGUGGGGAGCAAACAGGAUUAGA